UAGUGGCAGACGGGUGAGUAACGCGUGGGAAGCUACCUUGUGGUAGGGGACAACAGUUGGAAACGACUGCUAAUACCCUAUGAGCCCUAUGGGGGAAAGAUUUAUCGCCAUGAGAUGUGCCCGCGUUAGAUUAGCUAGUUGGUAAGGUAAUGGCUUACCAAGGCGACGAUCUAUAGCUGGUCUGAGAGGAUGAUCAGCCACACUGGGACUGAGACACGGCCCAGACUCCUACGGGAGGCAGCAGUGGGGAAUAUUGGACAAUGGGGGCAACCCUGAUCCAGCCAUGCCGCGUGUGUGAUGACGGCCUUAGGGUUGUAAAGCACUUUCAGCAGUGAAGAUAAUGACAUUAACUGCAGAAGAAGCCCCGGCUAACUUCGUGCCAGCAGCCGCGGUAAUACGAAGGGGGCUAGCGUUGUUCGGAAUCACUGGGCGUAAAGAGUACGUAGGCGGACUGAUAAGUUAGGGGUGAAAUCCCAAGGCUCAACCUUGGAACUGCCUUUGAUACUGUCAGUCUUGAGAUCGAGAGAGGUGAGUGGA
rnacentral:rRNA from 1 species